rnacentral:rRNA from 1 species
UGGGGAAUAUUGGACAAUGGGCGCAAGCCUGAUCCAGCAAUGCCGCGUGUGUGAAGAAGGCCUUCGGGUUGUAAAGCACUUUUAUCAGGAGCGAAACGCUGUCGGCUAAUAACCGGCGGAACUGACGGUACCUGAGGAAUAAGCACCGGCUAACUUCGUGCCAGCAGCCGCGGUAAUACGAAGGGUGCAAGCGUUAAUCGGAAUUACUGGGCGUAAAGCGUGCGUAGGCGGUUAUUUAAGUCUGUUGUGAAAUCCCCGGGCUCAACCUGGGAAUGGCAAUGGAUACUGGAUAGCUAGAGUGUGAUAGAGGAUGGUGGAAUUCCCGGUGUAGCGGUGAAAUGCGUAGAGAUCGGGAGGAACAUCAGUGGCGAAGGCGGCCAUCUGGAUCAACACUGACGCU